UACGGGGGGAGCAAGCGUUGUUCGGAUUUACUGGGCGUAAAGGGCGCGUAGGCGGUCGUGACAAGUCACUUGUGAAAUCUCCGGGCUUAACUCGGAACGGUCAAGUGAUACUGUCGGACUAGAGUACAGAAGGGGCAACUGGAAUUCUCGGUGUAGCGGUGAAAUGCGCAGAUAUCAGGAGGAACACCUGCGGCGAAGGCGGGUUGCUGGGCUGAUACUGACGCUGAGGCGCGAAAGCCAGGGGAGCGAACGGG
rnacentral:rRNA from 1 species